CGUCAACCUGUUUACGACCCGUCAUUACUUCCUGGUUUUCUUCUCAGCUCUGGUUACCACCUGAAAUUAUCUUGCUCAAUUACUGGCUUGAGUUCUGUCUGUUUUCUCAAUACUAGAACAUGAGGCCUCAUCUAAUCCAUGAAGGCCUGACUGGAGCAAAAGAUUGGUCUUCCCUGAGCAAGAGCGCAGUGCUGUAGACAUCUUCCAACUCCAAUCGUCUCUUGGCUCUUCUCUGGGCUUCCAGCCUGCUGAUCCAUCCUAGAAUUUGGACUUGCCAGCCUCCAUGGCAGGCUCGAAGCACGCUCGUGAGCAAGACGACUCAGUUCCUGACCUCAGGGAGUUUAAAAUCUGCUGCGGAUGGCAACCUUGGAAUUGCCCUGUUACAGGAAUAACAAUCGGGAAUAGACUACCGCAGAGGGCUCUGUCUCCAGAAGUCGCCUCCCUCAGAGGCCACUGCAGGACACGGUCUUUUCGGCACACAGACUCUGGCUUGGCGGCCGGCUGAGGCCAGGCCUGGUUUCCACGUCCACUCUCCCUAGGCUUCUUUUUUGCUUGUCUUUGUUUCACUCUUUUUUUAAGCUUAAUGAUAAAGUAAAACAGUAUGACACACCAUAAAACAAUUGGGCAUCUCCGUUCCUCUGAAGAUUGUCCUGAAAUUAUUUUACUCUCCUCCUCCCCCUCCUUGUAGAUGAGGUCUCUCUCCUUGUGUACCCCAAGCCUCCGACUUGCAUCACCUAUCUCAGCUGAGUGGGUGACUGCGUGGCAUGUGCUCUACAGCUCUCUUUUAGAGAAGGGCUCCCCCAGCCCUUGUCGUGGUCACAGAGCUUAGCAGGUGUGGAUCCAGGCCGGGCUGAGGCUGCUGACUCCCACAGCACUGCUUCUCACUCUAGUAAACCAGGAGCUGGGACCUGAGACUUAGAAGCUGUAUCUCUGAAACUCUGCCAACAAGUAAUUACUAAUAGAUUCAGUUUUUAAAAAUUGACAGCUUUUUGUUGUUUUUUGGCCUCUCAAGAGGACAGACCGAGUGGGAGCCGGGGACAGAGAAUGUCGACAGGAAAGUUAGGGAGACCUCUGACAAGGCGCG